rnacentral:misc_RNA from 1 species
GAAAUGCGAUAAGUAAUGUGAAUUGCAGAAUUCAGUGAAUCAUCGAAUCUUUGAACGCACAUUGCGCCCGCCAGUAUUCUGGCGGGCAUGCCUGUUCGAGCGUCAUUUCAACCAUCAAGCCCCCGGCUCGUGUUGGGGACCUGCGGCUGCCCGCAGGCCCUGAAAAACAGUGGCGGGCUCGCUGUCACACCGAGCGUAGUAGCAUACAUUCUCGCUCAGGGCGUGCUGCGGGUUCCGGCCGUUAAACGACCUUCAUAACCCAAGGUUGACCUCGGAUCAGGUAGGAAGACCCGCUGAACUUAAGC